rnacentral:lncRNA from 1 species
ACAAGUCUCCCUUGAACAUUUGAAAGGCAUUGCUAAGUUACAUGUAACUAGUAUCUGUGGCUAGUAGAAUUGUGGAAAUAUCUUGAGAGAAAAGCUUAAGCAAAAAAGAAUAAGAAAAAAACCUUAACAGGAAAAAACUUUAUAUUUUUAUGAUUGAAAAGAGUUGUGAUAUUGUACAUGUUAAUUUCAAGAAAGAAGUGAAAACAAAAAGAAAAUUUUUGGUAUGGGUCAAAUUUCCC